AUACGUCUGUUAUUGCUAUAGUCAUACGGUGAGGAAGUAAUGAGAUGAUUACAUACGACCGAAGCCAUAUAUAUAUAUUUUUUCCGUUUUAUUAUAAUUUUUUUCAGUAUUAAAGUCUGCAAAGACAUUCUUAAAUUCCUAUUUGAAUUUAUUUAUUUUUGUUUGUAUAUUUGAUAUUUAUUAUUUUGAAAAGCAUUCUUAAUUUUUUUUAUUUUUUGUUUUCUUAUAAUCAGAUUUUUUCAACUUUAGAAGUAUAAAAUUAAUUUGAUAUUUAUCAGCUAAAGUUUCAGGUAACGUAAUAUGUUUGGUAAUUUUCUAUUUUUUUUAAAUAAAAUUAUAAAUUAUAUCAAUGUUUUUAAUUGUACAAUUAAAAUUGUUUUCUGAGUGAAUCAAAAUUGAAAUCGUCUGUGAAAUAAUAUUAAUGUUAAUUGAUAAUGAUGAAAUAGAAGUAAAGUUGGCUCCACCUCAAAUAAGUUUAAUAAUUUUAAGAAUGUUUUCUCCUAAUUUGAAAAGCCCAUUUUUCAUUUAUCGCGUAAUCCAUUAUUUGUCGGUAGACUUUUGCCCGUUUUGCACGGAAUCUGACGAUCAUAAUAAUGUGCCAAUUAGGUCCUAGGUCGAAAUUAUAUACCUAUUAAUAUAUCGUUUAAAGAUUAUAAUAGUCUAAUUUAAAAGGUUAAUGUUUUAAAUUAGACCUAUUAAGUUAGAUUAUAGAAGACAAACCACAUAUUUAUCUCCUCAUAAUUUAUUUUCAGGAUGACUAUACAUUGUCGGAGAAUUGCAAGAUUAUUCAUUGAACGGGUAUCACAUACUAGACAAGAGGGGGAUUUGAAUGCCCCCUCUCUUGAAACAACUUUGUAGAUGCGACGAUAGACUGAUGUAGUAAAAUGAAUGAAUUAAGAACGAUAUGAAUUAAAAAACGAAUGAACAAAUUUAAUGAAUUAAGAACGAAUUCUUGUUUGUUUAACAUAAAAACGGAUUUCCCUCAAACAAAGAUUGUAAUGGACGUCAGCCAUGUUGGAACGGUAACUUAAUGCUUUUUUGUAGGCCCACUCUGCUUCUUGUUUUUUGCCUUGGGCACUAAGGAUAUUGGCCAGGUUGCCAUACGCUAUGAGGAUAAAAGUGAUCUACAAUGAGUGAUAUUUGAUAGCGGUCAUAUAUCUCUUGAAAGAAGAGAGAGAGCGGGUCUUCUGAGACGUUUUUUUUUCGAAAUUGAGCAAUCAGCAGCGGACUGUUAACAACGGAAAAGAUUCGUUAUCCAUCCUCAAACAUCGAAUCUAGUUCUUGAUUGAAACAUAAGAACGUUGCCCAAAGCCAAAACAAUGGAAAAGAGUCUGAUGACGUCAUAUCGACAUCGUCAUUUCUUUCCCGGCGGCAAAACUCGUUACCGAGAUCCAUGACGUCACCGGAAGUUGUAGAGUGAGAGCGAGACAAAUAUCACUUCCGUUUAUAUAACGAGUCGAUUCUAAGCAUAAUUUAAGAGAGAGAGAGGAGCAAGUUAUGGGGAUCAGCUUGUAUUUUACAACUCGCUCAAAUUACUCGAGUUUAUGAACUUAAUUAAAGUCGAGAAAGAAGUAAAGAGAGGAAAAAAAAAUUAAAAUUCAUAUAAUUCUUAGUACUGCUACUGUGACAGUGUGUCAGGAGGUUUUGUAACAGUUUGUGAACCAAGAAGAAACAGAGAGUAGGGAUUUGCCACGCGAAUCUCGACAAUCCUACUCUUUAGGGCUUCAAAAAGGAACUGUAGAAUAUUUGCCGGCCUGACGGGAGUGAUUUAAAGGAUAGAAACAGUGUUUACUUUCGUCUUUGUCCACGGCAAAUGUCUACAAAACUAAGAAAAAAUAAUAAAAAUGGAAUUGUAGAUGGAAAUAUAUCAUACGUUCCCAGGUGCGUUUAUUCCAGAAUAUUUUCUCUUCUUAAUGUUUAUAUUUUUCUUCGUACUUUUCAUUUAAUUUAUAGUCAUAUUUAAAUUUCAGCAACAGAUGGCGCCAAGUGAGACAAAAAUAUUUAAUUUACAAAUGAAAAUUUAUAUAAACUAAUUAAUAGUACCAAUACAUAAAAACAGUGGCCUACUAGGUUUACGUUUUUACACGCAAAACCUAAAAAUAAUUCCGAAUGUUGCUGUGUUAGCGAACAGCUGUGCAGGGAAAAACAGGGCAAAAUAUUAAAGAGAUCACCAAAAACAAAGUUAUAAAUUUUUAGAAAGAAUCAAUAUGAAACCCAAAUGGAAAGAUAGAAGAUGAAAUUUUAUAAAAAUUCAAAUUUCAGAUUAAUGAUAAUGUGAUAUGAAUUUUAAACGUGAUUGGCUUAAAUUUUUCCAUUGCAUUUUUUCAUAAAAACUUCAUCUAUUAUGCAACAACAACAACAACAAGAAAAAUCUUGUAGGAAAAACAGAGGAAGAAAAAAAUUCAACAAAUUGAUUUCUCUGGAGUUGUAAAGUUGAAAAUAUAUUUAGAAUCAUGAAACAAAAUCUCUUCUACUAAAAAUCUUUUUAAAAAAAUUCAGAAAACACGUGAAUGACAAGAGGAAAAAAAGCAUACUGAAUAUAUAUUUGCAUCCAAGAGGAAGAUUAAUAGCUGACAACUUUAUUACUUCAAAAGGAAUCAUCUUUUCUUAUAGAAAUUUCACGCUGAUUUUUAUCUCACUUUUAUAAUAAAAAUAAGUUCAUUUUUAGAAAUAAAUGACUAUUUCAUAAUUAAAAAUAUCUUAAUAAGUUAUAUAUAAAUAAAAAGACCGAAAAAGUAAAAAAUUACGACAGUAAGUCUAAUGCAUAUAGACUAUCAUUGCAAACUUUAAACAAUGAAAGGAUUUACAAAUGUUUAAAACAUUAUUGACUGGUAUAUUAAUACACAAAUGAAUACGUGGAAUGUUCUAGUUGCCUCAGGGUAGCGAAAAGUAGUAAUAAAAACAUUAUAAGGGGAAAAACGACAUCCGUUCUUGGAACAAUAGGCUCAGAACAAAGGACAUCUGUGAUUUAAACAAACCUUAGAACGCUAACGAAGAACACUCCCCCCGUUCUAUUCUUAGAUUAAACUCUAACAGAUAAAAACUUUUUUGUUAUAGGAGUUUAAAUUUAGUACGAUGUAAUGAAGCGAAAAUUCGUUAGCUAUAUAUCUUUUCAAAAAUAGGUUCGCUACUGAAAGAUAAGUCCACUGUACUAAUGAAAGCGUAAAUGCUUUUUUCUUAUAACAAAUUACACGAGAAAGUUUAUAAUUAAUAAACACGAUAAAGUGGCAUCAUACACAGAUUAUUUUAUUUUAUUUUUUCAGCAUCUAAGUACAUUUUUCAAACUAAAUAUAUAUUCAUCUGUGUGU